GACGAACGCUGGCGGCGUGCCUAAUACAUGCAAGUCGAACGCACAGUUUAUACCGUAGCUUGCUACACCAUAGACUGUGAGUUGCGAACGGGUGAGUAACGCGUAGGUAACCUGCCUGGUAGCGGGGGAUAACUAUUGGAAACGAUAGCUAAUACCGCAUAAUAUUGAUUAUUGCAUGAUAAUUGAUUGAAAGAUGCUAUUGCAUCACUACCAGAUGGACCUGCGUUGUAUUAGCUAGUAGGUGAGGUAACGGCUCACCUAGGCGACGAUACAUAGCCGACCUGGGAGGGGGAUCGGCCACACUGGGACUGAGACACGGCCCAGACUCCUACGGGAGGCAGCAGUAGGGAAUCUUCGGCAAUGGACGAAAGUCUGACCGAGCAACGCCGCGUGAGUGAAGAAGGUUUUCGGAUCGUAAAGCUCUGUUGUAAGAGAAGAACGGGUGUGAGAGUGGAAAGUUCACACUGUGACGGUAUCUUACCAGAAAGGGACGGCUAACUACGUG
rnacentral:rRNA from 1 species